UUUGGAAUGUAGGUGGUUUCCAGUGGUAAAGUUUAAAAGGAGGAGCCAAUCUCUGUGUGUUUUUCUCUCUUUAGAACCUGCUCUUAGCCUCAAUUCUCUGCUGGAGCACGAGACAAACGGAAUCUGAGUCACAGACAAACCACCAUAAUGGCAAUGACAGGGGAGGAUGAGGAUGGUGAUGAUGGUGAUGAUGACGAUGACAUAUAAAAAUGACGAAGAGGAUGGAUGAAGGUCUGUUGCCAAGGGCAGACCACGGGAACUGAACCAAUAGGCAAACAAUACACAUUUGCUGUUUAGCAAUGUGUUGAUUGUUGAUGGUUGAGAGGGAACUCAUGGGUCCCGUGAUCCUGACAGAACUCCACUGUCAGAUUUGCAUGCGGUGAUAGGCCUGAUUUGCCUAAGCCUGCUUAAGCAUGUACUACAGAGAACUGGAAAGGCUAAAAGCCAGUGAGAUGGGCUUGUAUAUUCUCCACAGAUGAAUGAUCUCAUUUGAAAACUGUGUUCUACUGGAAACCAAAAAUAUAUUGUAAAACUAUACAAAUUUGUAAUUACAUUGCUAGGCCUGCAUGUGAGGAGAUCAACAAAACCAACGAACCUAUACAUUUGUAAAGACUUACACAUGUUUAUAAUUUUAUAAUGUUUUUAAAUCUCCUUUUGUAAUUCCUUGAAAUCUAUUAAUCAGGGAAAAUAGACAAGUCUAAUUUGUUACUAAUGUAACAAUAAUGGAGCCAUUCUGUUCAGAAGGCUACCAACUGGCCAACAAAGAGCCAAUACUUCAUCAGCUGUCUACAUAAAGAAUAUAUGUAUUUAUUAAGAAUAAUACGCACAGGAAAUAAUAAAGAAUAAAUAGAGUGCAGUAGACAGACUGUAUUAAGAGCCGUAUAUGUACUACAGAGAACUGUGAAGGCUGAAAGUAGCCAUAAAGAUGGGCUUGUAUAUUCUCCACAGAUAAAUGAUCUGACUCAGAAUUUCUUCACUGCAAAACUCCCUGUAAUCUACCUGAAAACUUAAUUACACAUCAGAGUAUGUGUAAGAGUAUAUGAACAGCCAACCAAUAAUUUUAUUAUCUAUGAAACAUAUCAGGGAAAAUAGACAAGCCUAAUAACAGGACCCUUAUGCUCAGAAAGCUACAGAUUGGUCAAGAAAGAGCCAGUACCUGUAGAGAGUGUUAAGGGAAAAAAAUGUAUAAAUGUGCUGAAUGGGAAUGUGAUUAAGCACCUUCAUGUUGGAUUUAUAUAAACAUGUUUUAAGCACAGAGAAAUUAUUAUAAGUACAGAAAAACCUUUGUCAAACUGACAUAUACUUCAGAUGUAGCCAAUGGAGAAAAAUAUUAAGCUUACUAUGCCACAUACUGUUGAAUGUUCUUCUUGUUGUGUAAUGGAAUACAAAGAAGUGGAACAGCUGAAAGGAGCCAGUAAGAUGGGCUUGUAUAUUCUCCUUAGAUAAAUAACAUGAAUCAGAAUUUAUGAAAAGAGGUGGACAUACAAAAUUCCACAAAUAAUCUGUAGCCUAUCUGUAAAGCUAACUGUUAAGAGACUUUAUAUCAUAUAAUUUCUUUAGACAUGGCAGGAACUGACAUUUUACAACUUAAAAUUGUAUAGUAACUGAUUACAUGUCUUUUCAUGAGUUGACUUAACUUGAGGACUCCAGAGUUCACACAACUCAAACUUCUUAGUUGAGUCAAAAAUUCCCAGCUACUGUUUGUAGGUUGUAAAUUUGAGCCCCAGCAACGCAGUAGCCAUCUGUAAGUACAUAUCCAAGACGAAAAGCAUCUAGUAGGAUUGUGACAGAAAGAGUCCUGGCUAGUGGGGGAGUUCAGUAUAAAAAACAAGUUAUUUUUAUUUACCUGAGAUGCAGAACUAAAAAAAUGAAGAGAACUUUUGACUCAGUUUAGAAGUUUGAGUUGGUUGAGCUCUUAUGACCUCAAGGUGAGUAAACUCAAGAAAAACCAUGCACACUAUAUCAUUUUGAGUUGAGCCGACCUCUCAUUUUAAACAGUGUGGCUUACUCAGAUUUCAUACAAUUAUUAUUUAUAUAUAUGCCAUGUUACAGUUUUCCUAUAAUGCUAUAAAACCUUGCGGAUUCCCUUAAUAAUGAAAAUCUAUUUAGACAAAAAUAUCAGGGAAAAUAGACAAGCCUAAUUUGUGAAAAAUGUAAAAAUGGGCCCAAGCUGUACAUUUGGCCAGUAAAGAGCCAAACCUGUUAGAGAGCACGAUUACACAAUUAUUGUGUAUUUUACAUUCUCUAAUAUCAGUAUGGAGCUAUGAUACUCAACUAUAUGUUAUUUUCUCUUUAUACUGAACAUAAUGUCUCAAACUUGAUGCAUUAUUGUCAUUGUUUACUGCUGAUAACAGAGUGAGAAGCAAGUUUAUGUUUACACACGAACAUACUUCUAAAGGACAUGUUUAAGGACUUUGGUAACAUGUUAUUCUAUAAUAAUUUUGAUUCCAGUUCCACAGUUAAUACUGUAGACAUUUUAAAUGAUGUUUUCAUGAAAAAAAAACCAAACUAUUGGGCAUUCCGUUGACUUGGUUAUGUGACCAAAGGGCCAUCAGAGGUUUGCUGGUCUGGUUGUACACUUUAAAACACAGGUGGAUGUUUGCACCAGAUUUUUAAAAAUCUACAAUAUGCAAAAGUCUGAACAUCCCCAGUCAAAUGACAUGAUUUGUUUAUUUUCUAAAUGAAAAUAAAAUUUGAAAAUAGCACACCCUCUACAUAGAAUGAACCUUUUGGCAUUUUUAAAUUUGUCAUUUUGAAAAAUGUUUUUAAAUUUUGGCAAUUUUUCUUGCACAGUUUCUAUUUAUGUGCCAAGUUUGAUAAUUUGGGGAAAAAAACUAAACAUAAAAUACACAUUGUGCCAUAACUUUUGUAUUUCAUGUUUUGUCCCAGUUUGUUAAUUCAGCAUAUAAAUAGUAAUUAUGCAUUAAAAUGUGCAGAAGUAUGUCAUUUGACCAGGGGCACCCAAACGUUUGCAUAGGACUGAACCUCUGUUUUACAGUGUAUGCUCAGAGAGAAACUUCUUUCUAAACUGGCUGACAUCUGAUGGGGUCACAAGGAAAUCCCCUUUUCUGUUUUGUUUUCUUUUUAUGUUUCGACUGUGCUGUCUUUCUAAUCUUUAUCUUUCCUGUUUUAAACCACUAUAAAAUAAUCUUUUUAUAAACUUUUGUGCCUCUA